rnacentral:rRNA from 1 species
AUUGAACGCUGGCGGCAUGCCUUACACAUGCAAGUCGAACGGCAGCACGGGGCAACCUGGUGGCGAGUGGCGAACGGGUGAGUAAUGCAUCGGAACGUACCUUUCAGUGGGGGAUAACGUAGCGAAAGUUACGCUAAUACCGCAUAUUCUGUGAGCAGGAAAGCAGGGGAUCGCAAGACCUUGCGCUGAUUGAGCGGCCGAUGUCAGAUUAGCUAGUUGGUGAGGUAAAGGCUCACCAAGGCGACGAUCUGUAGCGGGGCUGAGAGGAUGAUCCGCCGCACUGGAACUGAGACACGGUCCAGACUCCUACGGGAGGCAGCAGUGGGGAAUUUUGGACAAUGGGGGCAACCCUGAUCCAGCCAUGCCGCGUGAGUGAAGAAGGCCUUCGGGUUGUAAAGCUCUUUCGGCCGGGAAGAAAUCGCACGGGCUAAUACCCUGUGUGGAUGACGGUACCGGAAUAAGAAGCACCGGCUAACUACGUGCCAGCCGCCGCCGUAAGAC